rnacentral:lncRNA from 1 species
CGGCGUCCGAAGGAACGUCGAUCGCUGGAGCCGCCUGGACAGGCACGGCCAAGCUCGUCUCCUCCGCCCUGGCCCUCUUUGCUGAUCCGGAGGCCGUGGCACCCUUUCUUUUGUGAGCCUUGAGGCCCCUGGCAAGCAUCCAUGCUGCUUCGGCGUCCAUUCCUUAAAAAAAAAAAAGAAGAAAUCAAUCAAUCAAAAAUCAGAAGUCAAUAAUGGGGUGAA